UUGCCAUUUUUCCCAGAGGUCUCAAUUGUCAAAUCUUACUGAAUUUGAAAUUGAGCCAUAGUGUUCGGACUUUCCAAAAUCUUUCAUGCAAAUAAUUUUCAGCAUUUUUACUCCCAAAUCUCAUCGAUGUAAUAUAUUAGCUAAAAGAUAGCUGAUGGAAAUGAGAGAUUGAGUUGCUCUUUGCCUCCUCUCUUUCAGCUGUGGACGCUCUGGAAUGUUAUCAUUGUCCCAAUGGAGGUCCCAAAUGUAUUCCCCAAACCUGCUCUAGUUACCAGGACCGAUGUAUGACCGUAUGGUUUACAGGAGUUGGAUCCAUGCCACCAAGGUAUGGCAAGAGGUGUGGCACUCUGUAUGAGUGUCAAACUCUGAAUGCAUUUCCAGGGUCAGGAGUUAGUGCCAUUUGUUGUGGCUUUGACAGAUGCAACCGUUAGUGUUCCCUUUCAACGGGAGACCUUCUCAAUGACAUCAUUGGCUUCAACUGAUAGCAUUGGAUGUGAUUUGUCUGAAAUUGAAGAGUGAUUUCGAAUGUGCUGCCAGUAAUCAGUCCUAUCUGGAUGGAAAAAUAAAUAAAAUUUUACAUUGUAA